rnacentral:rRNA from 1 species
CCUACGGGUGGCAGCAGUGAGGAAUAUUGGUCAAUGGACGAGAGUCUGAACCAGCCAAGUAGCGUGAAGGAUGACUGCCCUAUGGGUUGUAAACUUCUUUUAUAUGGGAAUAAAAUGUUCCACGUGUGGGAUUUUGUAUGUACCAUAUGAAUAAGGAUCGGCUAACUCCGUGCCAUCAGCCGCGGUAAUACGGAGGAUGCGAGCGUUAUCCGGAUUUAUUGGGUUUAAAGGGUUCGUAGGCGGAUCGUUAAGUCAGUGGUAAAAUUGCGGGGAUCAACCCCUUCCCGCCAUUGAACCGGGCGCGCUUGAGUGGAAGAGAAGUAUGCGGAAUGCGUGGUGUAGCGGUGAAAUGCAUAGAUAUCACGAAGAACCCUGAUUGCGAAGGCAGCAUGCGGGCUUCCGACUGACGCUGAAGCACGAAAGCGUGGGGAUCGAACAGGAUUAGAUACCCCUGUAGUC